UACGAAGGGGGCAAGCGUUGUUCGGAAUUACUGGGCGUAAAGGGCGCGCAGGCGGCCUGACAAGUCAGAUGUGAAAGCCCCGGGCUCAACCUGGGAAUAGCAUUUGGGACUGUUGGGCUAGAGAUCGGGAGAGGAGAGUGGAAUUCCCGAGUGUAGAGGUGAAAUGCGUAGAGUAUCGGGAGGAACACCUGUGGCGAAAGCGGCUCACUGGACCACAACUGACGCUGAUGCGCGAAAGCUAGGGGAGCAAACAGG
rnacentral:rRNA from 1 species